rnacentral:rRNA from 1 species
UACGGAGGGGGCUAGCGUUGUUCGGAAUUACUGGGCGGAAAGCGCGCGUAGGCGGACCUGCAAGUCGGGGGUGAAAGCCCGAGGCUCAACCUCGGAACUGCCUUCGAUACUGCGGGUCUCGAGUCCGGGAGAGGUGAGUGGAAUUCCUAGUGUAGAGGUGAAAUUCGUAGAUAUUAGGAAGAACACCAGUGGCGAAGGCGGCUCACUGGCCCGGUACUGACGCUGAGGCGCGAAAGCGUGGGGAGCAAACAGG